AUGGAGCCGACCUUGAAAUACCACCCUUUAAUGUUUGAUGUUCUAACGUGGACCCGUAAUCCGGGUUGCGGACAGUGUCUGGUGGGUAGUUUGACUGGGGCGGUCUCCUCCUAAAGAGUAACGGAGGAGCACGAAGGUUGGCUAAUCCUGGUCGGACAUCAGGAGGUUAGUGCAAUGGCAUAAGCCAGCUUGACUGCGAGCGUGACGGCGCGAGCAGGUGCGAAAGCAGGUCAUAGUGAUCCGGUGGUUCUGAAUGGAAGGGCCAUCGCUCAACGGAUAAAAGGUACUCCGGGGAUAACAGGCUGAUACCGCCCAAGAGUUCAUAUCGACGGCGGUGUUUGGCACCUCGAUGUCGGCUCAUCACAUCCUGGGGCUGAAGUAGGUCCCAAGGGUAUGGCUGUUCGCCAUUUAAAGUGGUACGCGAGCUGGGUUUAGAACGUCGUGAGACAGUUCGGUCCCUAUCUGCCGUGGGCGCUGGAGAAUUGAGGGGGGCUGCUCCUAGUACGAGAGGACCGGAGUGGACGCAUCACUGGUGUUCGGGUUGUCAUGCCAAUGGCACUGCCCGGUAGCUAAAUGCGGAAGAGAUAAGUGCUGAAAGCAUCUAAGCACGAAACUUGCCCCGAGAUGAGUUCUCCCUGACUCCUUGAGAGUCCUGAAGGAACGUUGAAGACGACGACGUUGAUAGGCCGGGUGUGUAAGCGCAGCGAUGCGUUGAGCUAACCGGUACUAAUGAACCGUGAGGCUUAACCUUACAACGCCGAAGGUGUUU
rnacentral:rRNA from 1 species